GCCCCGAUAGCUCAGUCGGUAGAGCAAGGGACUGAAAAUCCCUGUGUCGAUGGUUCGAUUCCAUCUUGGGGCACCA
rnacentral:tRNA from 1 species